GCACCACGAUGCUCUUGUUGUCCUUGGAGGUGAGUUUGGGGUCCUGGAAGUGAGGGUCCUCCACGUAGAUGAGGUCCCACUGAUCCGUUAGGUAUCCGUCCAGAACGAACGCCAUCUUGGUGACGACGGGCGGCUGCAGGGCCAGUUUGGCCAGAGAGGGGGUGGAGCACUGGAUGGAGGUCCGGUUCUCCCCGUACACACAGCUCUCAUGAAAGACCUCC